UACAGAGGGGGCAAGCGUUGUUCGGAAUUACUGGGCGUAAAGGGCGCGUAGGCGGCCUGUUAAGUCGAACGUGAAAUCCCUGGGCUCAACCCAGGAACUGCGUCCGAUACUGGCAGGCUUGAAUCCGGGAGAGGGAUGCGGAAUUCCAGGUGUAGCGGUGAAAUGCGUAGAUAUACUGGAGGAAUACCGGUGGCGAAGGCGGCAUCCUGGACCGACAUUGACGCUGAGGAGCGAAAGCCAGGGGAGCAAACGGG
rnacentral:rRNA from 1 species